CUGGAGUUACUAGUAAUCGCAGAUCAGAAUGCUGCGGUGAAUGCGUUCCCGGGUCUUGUACACACCGCCCGUCACACCACGGAAGUUGGGGGCGCCCGAAGCCACUUAGCUAACCCUUUUGGGAAGCGAGUGUCGAAGGUGAAAUCAAUAACUGGGGUGAAGUCGUAACAAGGUAUC
rnacentral:rRNA from 1 species